GCCCCCGAUGGCCAUCGUCUUCCGCUAGACUCCUCGAGAUGGAGGCCGCCGCCAGCAAAAAGAUGCGAUCCGGCGGCUUCACCUCCCUCACUUCCCUCCGCCCGUUGUAGGCGCCUUCUCCCCUGGGUCCGCCCCCCGUGCGCUCCCUCAUGGCCUUUUGUGUCAAGCCGGCGGUGGGGGAAGAGGAGGCGUAAGCAGAACGGGAGUUCCUCCCCACGGCCAGGGCCGGCUCUAGACCCGGGGACGGUGGUGAGGUGAACCACGAGGAGUGCCGGUGCUGUCACCUCCACGCCACAAUUCUUGCCGAACUGCAGCAUUGAAGAUAACCCCAUCAGCAUCAAGACUUAGUGCUUAACGAAUUGGUGCUGCGGAUCCAAUUGGUGCACUCCCGCAUGAUUCCUACCCACUCCCACACCUGGUCAUCCUUCAAUUUUGUCUUGGUUUGCCUUUCUGAGCCUUAAACUUGCAUUUUUCUUACUCAAAAUUUUCACAACAGUAUGAUUCAAACUAAGCUUGUUAAUCUAUUUGUCUCCAUGGUCCUAAACUGUUCGAUGAAAUGCCACCAACCAAUGUGAAUAUUAUGUAAUCAGCUUUGCCUUUUGUAUCCAAAUUUCUAAAUGAGAGAUCAAUUUGAUUACUUUUAUAUGUGUUGAAUUAUUUGAGAGAGUAGUAACCUUUGACAGGGAGACAAUCCAAAUUUCCUGAUUCAUUGGCUUCUGAGUCACAGGUUCUUUUACCUGAGAUAUUGCACCUAUGGUUGUUAUAUUUAACUGAUGUUUACAUGAAGUCCAUGUAGAAUUUGACUUUUUUUUUUCUUCAACAAAGGGCAACGUUACAUUAUAUUAACUUGAGAGGGCAACGUGCCUUUGAUAUGUCCAAAUAAUUUAAAAAUUUCUGUAUAUCUAAUCUGUCUAUCCGGUGAGCAAUUUUUGUGGCAUUACACUAUAUUCCCAAGCAUAUUUCUCUUGACAAUGAAGAUGCUUUUCCAUGACUGCACUAUCCAGUAUUGUAAUCUGGUGUGCAAUUCCUAUGAGAAAACCGUUAACAAGGUUGUCAGGACUCAGGAUUGGUGGUUCCAUACAAAUGUCAGGGCCUCAAAUUUACAAGAUGGUAAAUUGUGUUGAAUCAGGGGUACUAGAGUUUGAGGAAUCAAAUAAGUUGCUACUUGCUAGCUAUGUCGGUACUCAGAACCAUCUUUUAUUUUGUUAAAAAUGGUAAUAAUUAUGUAUGCACCUUUCCAUGUCCUUGAUCAAGGAGUUCUGCUACAUCAGUCUUUUAUUUUGCAGGAACCAAAGUUGUCCAACGCAUGUUUGUUAUUACCAUGGAUCUUGCUUCUUAUCAUGCAAGACAACUAAUGCCUAGUGUUUGAAACUUGGCUUACCUCUCAUUGACUAUAUUUGAGUUAUCCGACUGUUACCUUUACAUUUUUUAGUUGUUCAAGGGGAUGAUCUUUCAGUAGUUUAGUUGAUGACAGAUUGCAUUUAAGCAACGGAAAGAGGCACCAGUCAGUUCAACCUACACAUGACAAUAAUUUUGUUGUGUUGUCUCACUUUUAUGAGAGGGUGCUGAAUUUGAUCCAGGACAGGCUAUAAACAUUGCUAGAAUUUUGUUACUUGGGGUUAGGAGUACCGACCUACGACUAUGGAAAAUUUUACAUGAGAUUCAACUCAGUUGAAGGUGCUGUAUACUCCAUAUCUGAAGCAAGUAGCAGACUACUCAAACAGUUGUCAGAAUCUGUGAUUUACCCAUUGUAUGGCGCUUAAGAGUAAUUCUUGUGUAUUUGCAAGAUUUGGUUGCUUGAAUAUGCCAAUUUCUUUGAGGACUUGAACUUCAAGACUAGCAGAUUUUUUAAAUGUACAGGAUAAACCUGAAGGUUGAUCUUGAAUGCCACCAGGGGCUCGGGCUAGUUGUGAAUUUGUGAUCAAGCAAUUGGUUUCCAAAUCUGAUGGCUUGAUGCAAUAUUUUAUAAAUAUGACUUAAUUGUUAGCUCCGUAAAGACUCCGAUCAUUCAAAAAAAAAAUCUUGUGCAAAUGAGCAUGAGCCUUUGAUGACCUUGUUUGAUGCUGUCUUGGUACUUAUUGUUCAUGCAUAUUUAAGAUUGUGAUUGGAUUCAUUGACAGCUGCUGCCUUUACUUAUGCAUCAAAAUCUUUUUAGUGUUGUGAUUGGUUGUCCAACUAUUAUUUUGGUGGUUGUUCAUCAAAAUCUUACUAAUGUUUCUUUAUUUAUUCUCCAGUCCAUCAAACCUACGGUUCUGAUUGGAACAUCAGGAGUUGGAAGGACAUCCACAAAAUAUGUUGUUGAGACGAUGGCUUCCUUCAAUGAGGAACUUGGAGGGUUGGGUGUGAAGCAAUCUGAUGGUUUUAUUCAUUCAAAUAGUGGAAGCACUAGCUGAUCAGGUCACUCGAGAGAAUUGAAAGGUAUCAACCUUCGUGCCUGUCACCAGCAUCAGAAAGAUUUCCGCUCACAUUGCUGUCGCCAUGGCUGCAAAAAAGCUUAUGAGCUUGGUACACUUCACCUCAGUUUGCCCCGAUUCCAAAUAUUUCCAUUCGCCUCCAAUUCCCAUAAACUUUUGGCUACAGGUUUGGGGACCGUUUGCAUUACCCCCGAGACCUGGUGAAAUACGCCGAGAGCUGCAUGCACACUCCUGUCUACAGCAACCACCGAUAGCUCUGCGGGGAUAACUUUUUAGUAAUAAAAAACUAGAAAUGCAGGGUACUACAAUGUUGCGGUGGUUUUUGUUGGUUUGUCACUACUUCGACAACCCUUGUUGCUACUGCUGAUGCUAGUAGACAUUGUACAUGUCUAUGCAUAUAUAUAUUGUAACGUACCGAGGCAAACCAUCUUGUGUGCCAAUGUUUGUUAUUCUUUCACAGUUACGACAGGCAGAUGUCCGAAAGAGUCAAA